GAUCUUGUCAUCAUCGCUGUUGUUCUCCUUCUUGUAACCAUCGUCUGUGUGGCUGGAUUCUGCCUGUACAAGAAGAGAAAUGCCAAACGCCCUCCAUCCCCGGUAAACGACCCGGCUGUGCAACAAAUGAUGCUUCCAAAUCAAAAUACCUGAAAGACAAAGAGAGGACCCUGAACCCAGUUUACGGGUACGUUCUGCACUGAAACAAGGAGCAGACGACACGCUCUCCUCAGAAUUCAUUGGCUCUCAUCGUAUCAGACAUGAAGUGAUCAGAGUUGGGAAUUUAAAUUUAAAUCUUUGAAAUACAAAGAAAA